rnacentral:rRNA from 1 species
GACGAACGCUGGCGGCGUGCUUAACACAUGCAAGUCGAACGAUGAAGCCGGAGCUUGCUCUGGUGAAUUAGUGGCGAACGGGUGAGUAACACGUGAGUAACCUGCCCUUGACUCUGGGAUAACUGCGGGAAACUGUAGCUAAUACCGGAUACGACCCUCGGAGGCAUCUCCUGGGGGUGGAAAGAAUUUCGGUCAAGGAUGGACUCGCGGCCUAUCAGCUAGUUGGUGAGGUAAAGGCUCACCAAGGCGACGACGGGUAGCCGGCCUGAGAGGGUGACCGGCCACACUGGGACUGAGACACGGCCCAGACUCCUACGGGAGGCAGCAGUGGGGAAUAUUGCACAAUGGGCGCAAGCCUGAUGCAGCAACGCCGCGUGAGGGAUGAAGGCCUUCGGGUUGUAAAGCUCUUUCGGCCGGGAAGAAAUCGCACAGGCUAAUACUCUGUGUGGAUGACGGUACCGGCAUAAGAAGCACCGGCUAACCACGUGCC